rnacentral:rRNA from 1 species
GACGAACGCUGGCGGCGUGCUUAACACAUGCAAGUCGAACGGAAAGGCCCUGCUUUUGUGGGGUGCUCGAGUGGCGAACGGGUGAGUAACACGUGAGUAACCUGCCCUUGACUUUGGGAUAACUUCAGGCAACUGGGGCUAAUACCGGAUAGGAGCUCCUGCUGCAUGGUGGGGGUUGGAAAGUUUCGGCGGUUGGGGAUGGACUCGCGGCUUAUCAGCUUGUUGGUGGGGUAGUGGCUUACCAAGGCUUUGACGGGUAGCCGGCCUGAGAGGGUGACCGGCCACAUUGGGACUGAGAUACGGCCCAGACUCCUACGGGAGGCAGCAGUGGGGAAUAGUGCACAAUGGGCGGAAGCCUGAUGCAGCAACGCCGCGUGCGGGAUGACGGCCUUCGGGUUGUAAACCGCUUUCGCCUGUGACGAAGCGUGAGUGACGGUAAUGGGUAAAGAAGCACCGGCUAACUACGUG